GACGAACGCUGGCGGCAUGCCUAAUACAUGCAAGUCGAGCGAACAGAUGAAGUGCUUGCACUUCUGACGUUAGCGGCGAACGGGUGAGUAACACGUAAGGAAUCUACCUAUAAGCGGGGGAUAACAUUCGGAAACGGGUGCUAAUACCGCAUAAUAUUUUCUUCCGCAGGGAAGAAAAUUGAAAGAAGGCACUGCUGUCACUUAUAGAUGACCUUGCGGUGCAUUAGUUAGUUGGUGAGGUAACGUCCUACCAAGACGAUGAUGCAUAGCCGACCUGAGAGGGUGAUCGGCCACAUUGGGACUGAGACACGGCCCAAACUCCUACGGGAGGCAGCAGUAGGGAAUCUUCCGCAAUAGGCGAAAGCCUGACGGAGCAAUGCCGCGUGAGUGAAGAAGGCCUUCGGGUCGUAAAACUCUGUUAUAAGAGAAGAACAAAUUGUAGAGUAACUGCUACAGUCUUGACGGUAUCUUAUCAGAAAGCCACGGCUAACUACGUGCCAGCCGCCGCCGUAA
rnacentral:rRNA from 1 species